CAAGCAGGUGUGCCUCUCAUGCUGUCUUUCUGCUUCACUACCGCGUGCUCUUAGACGUACAGCUCUCGCACACGCAACUAGCGUAGCGAAGCACACCUUCCAUCUCAGGAUAUUCGGUUUAGUGACCGCGCCAGGAUCGCGACUCUCGACUAUGCGGCCCUCGUGCUCUGUUCGGCGCGGUCCACUUGGUGCUGGGGUACCAGACCACGUUCCUCGAGAACCUCACCUAUCUUGGCCUGUGCCUCAUCUUCUACACCACGCUCUGCGUCUGGGGCAGUGGUGAUUCUGGUGAGACAGCAGCUCUCUUCAAUCCUUCCGGGACCUGCGUGGUGUGGACCGCUUUACAGCUUGCCUGCGCAGGGAACGCCUGCUGUGCUCUGGGUGCUCUCCCUAUGUUCUCCUUUCCCACGGGAACGCAAUAGUGUGCGCCUCUUUUGGUGCUUUCGGCCCCAAAGAGCUGCCAUUGCGGUCGUGAAACACGCUAGUUUAUGACUGAUGCCUUUAUCUGCGGCAGCUCCUCUGUUGGCGGUGGGUAGGGCAGCUGUCCUAUCUCUGGAGUUAUGAAGUGCGCUCUCUACUGGCUUAUUGCUGCCUCGUCUUGAUGCGCCUCUGUACGCUUCCGUGUGCGCUGCGAGGGAUAGGCAUAGUCCCCCUGUUCUAUUCUGAGGUGGUCUGUCAACACUCUGAGUACGGUCAAUAUGCGCCGGCUUGUGUCAUCUUGUUCGGGUGUAGGCGUAUGAACCCGUCACCAUCACAGUGCUCCGUAUCGUUUCCCUUUUCAUAUGGUGGUGGUGGUUGUGGGAGAAGGAGGGGGGUCGCAUCGCUCCCACCCACUCAUCUUUCGCGAAGACAAGUGCUCUACGGCUCUUCAGCAUCUAUGUGUUGGUAGAGCGUCCACCUACAGGAUCAUCUCCGAGGUGGCCGUGCACGUUUUUCUUUUCGGCCGCACAUUAAUGUGGUUUAUGUCCCUCCCUCCACGCAUCCCCCUCUUUGUGGGUGUCUCUGUCUUCAACGGCGUGUACCCUCGUACGCGUCUUUUAUAGGUG
rnacentral:misc_RNA from 1 species